UGCCAGACUCCUACGGGAGGCAGCAGUGGGGGAUAUUGCACAAUGGGGGAAACCCUGAUGCAGCGACGCCGCGUGUGGGAAGACGGUCUUCUGGAUUGUAAACCACUGUCCCCAGGGACGAAAAUGACGGUACCUGACUAAGAAGCCCCGGCUAACUACGUGCCAGCAGCCGCGGUAAUACGUAGGGGGCAAGCGUUAUCCGGAUUUACUGGGUGUAAAGGGGGCGCAGACGGCAGCGCAAGCCAGGAGUGAAAGCCCGGGGCCCAACCCCGGGACUGCUCUUGGAACUGCGCGGCUGGAGUGCAGGAGGGGCAGGCGGAAUUCCUGGUGUAGCGGUGAAAUGCGUAGAUAUCAGGAGGAACACCGGUGGCGAAGGCGGCCUGCUGGACUGCGACUGACGUUGAGGCCCGAAAGCGUGGGGAGCAAACAGGAUUAGAUACCCGAGUA
rnacentral:rRNA from 1 species